CCUACGGGAGGCAGCAGUGGGGAAUCUUGCGCAAUGGGCGAAAGCCUGACGCAGCCAUGCCGCGUGAAUGAUGAAGGUCUUAGGAUUGUAAAAUUCUUUCACCGGGGACGAUAAUGACGGUACCCGGAGAAGAAGCCCCGGCUAACUUCGUGCCAGCAGCCGCGGUAAUACGAAGGGGGCUAGCGUUGCUCGGAAUUACUGGGCGUAAAGGGAGCGUAGGCGGAUAGUUUAGUCAGAGGUGAAAGCCCAGGGCUCAACCUUGGAAUUGCCUUUGAUACUGGCUAUCUUGAGUGUGGGAGAGGUAUGUGGAACUCCGAGUGUAGAGGUGAAAUUCGUAGAUAUUCGGAAGAACACCAGUGGCGAAGGCGACAUACUGGCCCAUUACUGACGCUGAGGCUCGAAAGCGUGGGGAGCAAACAGGAUUAGAUACCCUGGUAGUCCACGCUGUAAACGAUGAGUGCUAGUUGUCGGUCGAGGCGAUGCGUCGUCGGUGACGCGAGCUACGACAUAAGACACUCCGCCGUCGGGAGGUACGGUCGCGAGAAUUAAACUAACGAAAGAAGUUAGUACGGCGUGAGACGUAGCCGACGGACGACGACGAGGGAGGAGG
rnacentral:rRNA from 1 species